rnacentral:rRNA from 1 species
GACAGAGGAUGCAAGCGUUAUCCGGAAUGAUUGGGCGUAAAGCGUCUGUAGGUGGCUUUUCAAGUCCGCCGUCAAAUCCCAGGGCUCAACCCUGGACAGGCGGUGGAAACUACCAAGCUGGAGUACGGUAGGGGCAGAGGGAAUUUCCGGUGGAGCGGUGAAAUGCGUAGAGAUCUGGAAGAACACCAAAGGCGAAGGCAGCGCCCUGGGAAGUGACUGACGCUGAGGUGCGAAAGCUAGGGGAGCGAACGGG